rnacentral:rRNA from 1 species
CUACGGGGUGCACCAGUGAGGAAUUUUGCGCAAUGGGGGGAACCCUGACGCAGCAACGCCGCGUGAGUGAUGAAGGCUUUCGGGUCGUAAAGCUCUGUCAAGUGGGAAGAACCUAUGCAGUGUUAAUAUCACUGUAUACUGACGGUACCACUGAAGGAAGCACCGGCUAACUCCGUGCCAGCAGCCGCGGCAAUACGGGGGGUGCAAGCGUUAUUCGGAAUCAUUGGGCGUAAAGGGCACGUAGGCGGCUUGGUAAGUCAGAUGUGAAAGCCCGGGGCUUAACCCCGGAAGUGCAUUUGGUACUGUCAGGCUUGAGUAUGGGAGAGGGAAGUGGAAUUCCUGGUGUAGAGGUGAAAUUCGUAGAUAUCAGGAGGAACACCGGUGGCGAAGGCGACUUCCUGGACCAAUACUGACGCUGAGGUGCGAAGGCGUGGGUAGCAAACAGGAUUAGAUACCCUUGUAGUC